rfam:Sphingobium chlorophenolicum L-1 chromosome 1, complete sequence.
GGAAAAGGCCUUUCAGGCAUCCUCUCCUAAAACUUUCAAGCCGUCCUUCGGGGCGGCUUUUUUUUGCUUUUUUU